GGAGCGGUGGCCGAGUGGCUGAAGGCGCACGCCUGCUAAGCGUGUAUAGGAGCAAUCCUAUCCCGGGUUCGAAUCCCGGUCGCUCCGCCA
rnacentral:tRNA from 1 species